CGGGGUGCAGCAGUGGGGAAUAUUGGACAAUGGGCGCAAGCCUGAUCCAGCAAUGCCGCGUGUGUGAAGAAGGCCUUAGGGUUGUAAAGCACUUUCAAUGGGGAGGAAAACAGUUAGCUUAAUACGCUGACUCUUGACAUUACCUGUAGAAGAAGCACCGGCUAACUCCGUGCCAGCAGCCGCGGUAAUACGGAGGGUGCGAGCGUUAAUCGGAAUUACUGGGCGUAAAGCGUGCGUAGGCGGUUCGUUAAGUCAGAUGUGAAAGCCCCGGGCUCAACCUGGGAACUGCAUUUGAAACUGGCGGACUCGAGUUGAGUAGAGGUAAGUGGAAUUUCAGGUGUAGCGGUGAAAUGCGUAGAUAUCUGAAGGAACACCAGUGGCGAAGGCGACUUACUGGACUCAAACUGACGCUGAGGUACGAAAGCGUGGGUAGCAAACAGGAUUAGAUACCCGUGU
rnacentral:rRNA from 1 species